AAGCCUUAGCCGACGCCGACAAAACGCAAAAUAUGAGCGCAAAAAAGUUUUUCACUGAGUUUACAAUAAACUCAGCAAAGUGCACAUUGUGUUGUAAAAUAACUAAAACUAGCAGAAACACAACGAACCUAACAUCUCAAAUGUUCAAAGAUAAGUAAAUGAAAAGAGACGGAAUGUGGAAGGGUUUCGAAAAUUUCUCCUUGAGAGUCGAAAAAUUGUGUUUUCGGUUUUUCUUGAACCCCCAUAAAUUCAAGAAAAACCCAAAAACACAAUUUUUUGAUUCUCAAAAAUAAAUUUUUUUAAAUCCUUUAUUUAGAGACCGUUUUCCUGGUCAAAUUCGUGAUUAUUGCAUCAAUAUAUAUAUUGUGUUAGGCGCCGAAUCGGCACGAAGCCGACUGCGACGUCGGCAGAGAAGCCAGCGACGCCGGCAGAGCUGAGCGCAACGGCGGCAAAGAGACGCGCUCUCAGUCGGCGUCCGCAAAGAGAACGCACAAAAAGUACUUUUGGGCUCUCCCUCUCUCGCAAUGUCUCAGCUGAAGAAAUGCGUGUGAGGGCAAGGAGGCCCAGCAAUUAAAAUAGCUAGACUUUUGUGCACCCUUUCCUUUUGAAUAACGCGACAUUUUUUCGUAAAUGUUAAAACAACCAAUUAAAAUAAUAUGUUUGGGUUUUAAACUAUUUGUAUUUCUUAAAAAAAUGUAUAUGUUUAUUAAUAUUAUUUAUUAAUAUGUGAAGUUUUAAAAAUAUAUUUUUUUACAACGAUUUGCAUAGUCGGAUAUGUUUAUAAAUACUCUGCUUCUAAGUGCAAGAUGCAUAGACCAAACGGGACAUGCCAAAAAAACAGAACAACAACGGAUUAGCGGAACCGUUGUUGUUGUUGCUUGUUGUUUUUGUGGAAGGCACGCGCCUUUUUUCGUCUUUUUCACUUGCGUUUACUUAAGUGAAGGAGUUAGAAGUAAAAGAAAACUACGAGCAAACAACUUUGUUAAAUUCAAUUAAUAGUGGCUUAAAAGUGAAAUAGAAUCAAUUCCCAGACAAGGUUGAUGGUAAAUCUAUAAAAAAAUGGUAGGCUAAGUCGUUCCAUUUUAAGCGUAUUAUCCGGGGAACUUGUUCUGUCCCACAACUUGGAGGAGGGCCAAAACAAGAAGAAGCUCAAAGUCUUCCCAAAUUUCGUCCGCGCCUUGUUAAAUGCAAUCGCUCUGGUGGAGCCCUCGGAGCCUCCCGAUAAGGCACUGCAAAAAGCAAUGAGGUGCGUCAAAAACCUAAGUUGGGCAAAAAAAAAGUCAACGCCGGCCCCAGAUGCUGACAAACCGACGACUCCGAUAACACCGGGAACCCCCGAGCUGAAAUUUUAAAUAAAAAUAAAUAUUAAAACUGAAAUUAUAUUUGCUGCUAAGCGCUCAACGGGUGCCGAAUGUGUGCCUUUUCUACUGCCUAAUACAGCGCUCAACGUGUGCCGAAUGUGUGCCUUUUCUACUGCCUAAUCCAGCGCUCAACGUGUGCCGAAUGUGUGCCUUUUCUACUGCCUAAUCCAGCGCUCAACGUGGGCCGAAUGUGUGCCUUUUCUACUGCCUAAUCGAGCGCUCAAAGGGGUGCUCAAAAAAGCGCCGAAUGGGUGCUAGUUUUUGUGCACUGAUGAACCCUAGGACAUGCCCAUGUUAAUUUGAGCACCUAAUCCCAUAUAAAUUAGGCGCCUAUUAGGCGCUGAGUGAUGAACUUUUUGCAGUGAUUGAGUGCCUAAUCGGCGCCGAAUGGUACUGCAGGGUAGUUAUUAUAAAAUACUUAAUGUUUAAUAAUCAAAUAAAAACUCAAACAACAAAAAUAUGUACUGCGAAUUGUGGUUUUAGCGGAACAAGCUCAACCAAGAACUCCGCAGACCCAAAAUGAUCCGGUUAUGAAAGCUUUUUACAGUAGUUCGACAGAAGCGGGAGCCAUGGCACCAGCUGAUAACAAACCGGCUUCUGUUCCAAUAGAACCGAUGAGAAAAAAGGUGUCCGGAUACAAUCCUUCCGACAGUCAAUACCCACAAGCUUCUGCUUAACCAACGAUGUCACCACCACCUUCAACAUACUCUCAAGCUGAGCUUUCAGCAGCUUCCAACCAAAACUGCAGUGUACAUAGUGCCUCAGUAACCCCUUUUUAAUACCUAACGCAUCCGGAAACCGGGGUGGGACUCAUCUAGUUAUUAUAACCAUGCCAUGCUACAGGCAACGGCAGCCGACGCCCUACAUCGCUCUGCCGAGAACCCCACCUAGAAUAGUAAGAAGUCAUGACCAUUCCCUUUGCUCUUCAUCAGGGUCCUAUGAAAGGUUCUUUCGGAGGUGGCUUUGGGAUUGUACGUACAACCAAAUUCACUCAACUCUUUCCCCACAGUAGUAUUUAUACCUGCCUCUCGUAAAGUAAAAGUGUAUAUUAGAUUCCGCGGAAAUGUAACAAGUAGACCCUAUAAAGAAUAUAGCCAUGUCAGUCUGUCGGUAUGAACGCUGAGAUCUCGGAAACAAUAAGAGCUAGAAUGUUGGGAUAAAACACUCAAAUUCUUGGACUUCCUGCGAAGCGCAAGUUUGUUUCAUCGGAGUGACACGCCCACAAACGCCAAUAACGCUAAAUUUGUCAGUCUGUCCACAUUUUAUAUAUUUUCUGAAGGUGUUAAUGGGAUUCUGCUUUUAUUAUCAAUACCCAAAUCGGACCACUCAUUAAAGAGUUAAUAAUACAAAAAUACAAAUGAAAAAGUACCAGAUUUCGCGAGUGAAUUUCGAUCGAACGCCGUUAGCCGCGGCCCAAAAAAUAAGAAAUUUAGUCUUUGGCGGUGUUCGUGCAGAAACGGUAGGGAACUUAAAAAUUAAAAAUGGAAAAAAAGCCCCAAAAAAGUCCUUAAGGAGGUUAGUACAGAUUAAAAAGGACGCCUAAUCCAAGUUGUUGCCCAUUAUUGUGGGACUUGACCGACAGGAACAGUUGAAGUGCUGGAGGAGAUCCACUAGAGAAUCCCAGUGGGAAGGAACAUGGGACAUCGCUCGAUCUCCGACGAGCACCACAUUAAGAACUCCACCUCCACCAGCUACUUGGCAGCUAAAGCGGAGGUGGAGGACGCCCCGGCUUCUAUAGGGAGGAGGAAAUAAGGUGGCUCGCUAAGGGACAGCUGGAGGAGCCAUCACCAGCCAUUACCAGGAUGCUGGGCGACUUCAUGCAGCACCAGGCGGAACAACCCCGUUUUUAAUUCGUCUCCCACUUCCAUAAGGUCCAAUAUGCAUAUUGGGACUCGAAACUGGACUACAGAUGGCGCGAGAAAGAUGGCGAAGCAUCCGUGGAACGAAAAGGAAUCCUUAAACUUAUAAUUUACAUAAAUGAAACAAGGAAGAACGCUAUAGUCGAGUACCUCGCCUAUCAGAUACCCGUUACUCAGCUAAAGGGACCAAAAGGAAAUGGAGAUAUGCAAGCG